GAAAAUAAGUUAAAAAGGAACAAAUGCAAUCUCAUAUAUUGAUUUUAUCCUUCAAUGUACAUUCGGCAUAUUAAAAUUCAGUUGUCUAAAUAAAAAAAAAAAUGUAUUUUCAUUACGAAACCAUUCCAUAUACUUCGUUGUUUUUCAGUAAAUACAAAUAAAAGAAUAUAAUUGCCAAUGAGAAAACAAUCAGCCAUAAACCAAAAUGACGUAGAAGUAAGCAAAUGUAGUUCAAUGUAUUAAAACCGUGAGCAAAACUAACACCAAUAAUGGACUAAGAUGCCCAGAUAUGAAAAAUGUAAAACAAUUCAACGUUAAACCAACGGCCCUGAUGUAUUUUUAAAAGACUGAGCAAAAAAAAACCAAACAACAACAGAGAACAAACCCAAAUAUGAUAGACAGCAACCAAUAACCACCAAAUUUCAGGCACCUGACUUGUGACAGACACAUACUACAUAGGGUGGGGCCAAUCAUGUAUACGAGUGCUCAACCAUCCCAGUACUUGUUAAGUUGGUGAAAAGGAACAGAAUUAGAACAAAUAGCAAACAUGCUGGACUUAUCCGAUCAAAACAAAGCACACCAGACUGUCAAUUAGAAUAAUUUUAUCUUUCUAUUAAUGAAAACAGUUAUUUAUUACAGGGGCUACGCAAAUAUACAUCAAAUAUAGAAAAUCUGCAGGAUAAUGUAUAGGGCCAAACUUUAAUAAGAAGACAAAAGAGGCAGGGUGAUACAACACAUCCGUCGUGGUAGAACAAAUGGUUAGACACUUCGACAAAACUUUGGUGUUUAUAACUACUAUGAGGUUUGUAGAUGACUGCUGUUUUCAUAUGAACUAACAAGGUAAAUCAUGGAAAUUUAACACAAUGUAGUUUCAUUUAUUUUUAAUUUAAUACAUGUAAUUUCAGGGAUGAAUGAAAAACAAUUUCCUCACAAAUGGGCACAUACUUAUUCGAGCAGGAUACAUACCCGGGUGUUUAAACAGCCAAAAUAAUUGACCAAAAGGUUAAGUACCAGAGGGUAAGUAUUGUUAUAUUUUCAGAGGGUGAGCAUACCAUAUUGUUAUAUUUUAGAGGGUAAGUAUUGUUAUAUUUCAGCGGAUAAGUAUACAAUAUUGGUAUAUUUUCAGAGUAAGUAUUGUUAUAUUUCAGAGGGUAAGUAUACAAUAUUGGUAUAUUUUCAGAGGGUAAGUAUUGUUAUAUUUCAGAUGGUAAGUAUUGUUGUAUUUCAGAGG
rnacentral:lncRNA from 1 species